GAUCCUCCCACCCUUUGUGUACCUACCUCUGUUGCUUUGGCGGGCCGCGGUUCUCCGCGGCCGCCCCCCUCCCCGGGGGGUGGCCAGCGCCCGCCAGAGGACCAUCAAACUCCAGUCAGUAAACGAUGCAGUCUGAAAAACAUUUAAUAAACUAAAACUUUCAACAACGGAUCUCUUGGUUCUGGCAUCGAUGAAGAACGCAGCGAAAUGCGAUAAGUAAUGUGAAUUGCAGAAUUCAGUGAAUCAUCGAAUCUUUGAACGCACAUUGCGCCCUUUGGUAUUCCGAAGGGCAUGCCUGUUCGAGCGUCAUUACAACCCUCAAGCUCUGCUUGGUAUUGGGCACCGUCCUUUGCGGGCGCGCCUCAAAGACCUCGGCGGUGGCGUCUUGCCUCAAGCGUAGUAGAACAUACAUCUCGCUUCGGAGCGCAGGGCGUCGCCCGCCGGACGAACCUUCUGAACUUUUCUCAAGGUUGACCUCGGAUCAGUUGGGUCUCCCUUCUGAACUUAAGCAUAUCAAUAA
rnacentral:rRNA from 1 species